GUGAAGGUCGCCGGUCGGAAGGAACUAUCGUGGUGCUCGAAUCAAGAAAAUCAUUGUAAUUGUUUUGACUGCAUACAUUGAUUUGUCCUUUAAAAAUCCAAAGGUGUGAACUGCUUUGAAAAUAACGGAAAUAGAACUUUCAACAAUAUGGCGUGUUUCACUUGCAGUUGGAAAGUUAUUCUUAUCUGGUGGAUUGAUGUCAUUCCUUUUGUAGCCUCACCACCACUUCUUGGGGGAUAUUUACUGAAGGACAUUGUAACAUUUAUUCCGAGGAACGAAAGGGAGUUUAUAGAGCAAACAAAAAACCUGAAAUGUGCACAUUCUGAAGGCUGUAAACUCCAUCCCACCUAUGUUAUUAGCCCCUUUCAUAACGAAACCCGUAUAGGCUGUUUUUGUGAAAUGAAAGUGACCGUCAAGAAGUGUUUGGAGUAUAAUUUUAUGAGAGAUGGUACAGUUAUAAUGCAACCAAGCAACUAUGCUCCAUGUGGUGAUUUUAAUCUGACACCAUGUAAUGACUAUUCUUCCACCAAGAGCUAUGAAUUGUUUCAAUGUUUUGAAAUAUAUGGGGGAAUUCCUCCUCCAAAAAUAGAAAUCAUGCAGGAAACAGAUUACUCUUUUUAUAUUUACAUUGGGAUUUCUUUUGCAAGUCCCUGUAUCGUGUUUUUACUUAUUAUACUUAUAAUUCCUAUUUGUAUUCAAAUGGGUAUAAAUAAAGUAAGUUGGGGAGAUUUUUGGAAAUUGUGGUUCAGUACUUUCAAACGGUUGUAUUCAAGACCACAGACCACAGAUGUGAUUUUAGACUCUACGCCUGGACAACUGCCCAACACCGAUGUUCGCAGCAAACGACAUGUUCGAGGCACACAACCUUUUCAGAGCACUGAUGAACCUGGACCUGACAAUGAUACUUUAAAAAAUAGUAAAAUGGAAAUAGAUGACCUAGAAAAUCUUGCCAUCGACACUGAGAAUGAUACAUUCUUGUAGUUUCCUUUUCUUUGUCUUUCAUUUCUUUUUUUAAAAGAAGUUGUUUUACAAAUUAUGUUACUGCUCUUAUUUUUAUGUAUCUAUUUUAAUUGUGUUUAUUGUGUUGUCGGCCUGACUCUGGCAAAAGUUCACUUUUUACAUGAUUUAUGUUAUUGUGUUUUAGCAGGCAUUUAAUUUUGUCAUGUAUAUGUUUGUGUUUUCUGGCAGAUUCAGUUUUGACAUUCACAACUGUGUUGUCUCAGUUUAAUUUGUCAAAGUUAUUCUGAUUUAAAAUAAUUUUGAUUGAAACAAGGGAGAUCCCAUUGCCAUUUUAUCAGUCUUUGUUCAAUGCUUAGGUAAAUUUAAUAUUAAUUGCUAGGUGAUCUUCCCUUUAUUAUGAUGUUGUGCCUAAAUGUAUGUGAUGUUUACAUGGUUUUGUUGUUGAACAAGCUCUUGAGUUUGUUUUUAUAAUUUUGAGUCCCUAUAGUUUAGAUAUAUUAGAUCUUUACCAUAUUUGAUAGUAUUCUUAAAUCACUGUAAGUGACUAAACUAAUGAGAAGUGUUACUGCCUUGAAAUCUGAUUGUAAACAAAGUAAACCAAAUUUUGUGUGGGAUAUAUGACCAUCUCUAAUCUCCAUCAUGAACUUAAUUUGUGUAUUUCAUAAUUGAAGUUGUACUUUAUAUUAUGGUAGCAGUAAAUGACCAAUGAAAUCCUUGUUUUUUAAAUUUGAAUGAUUUUGUGUAUUGCAUUAUUUUUUUAUUGUUGUCAAAAUGUAUAUUAUAUUUUGUUAUGUCAAUUUAGUGAUUUAAGUAAUUUCAUUUAUCAGAGUUAUUCCGCAAACAAAAAAAAUUCAUAAUUGUAACUGAGUUGAUAACCAUUUUUAUUACUGUAGUCUUUGUUCGUAGAUAAAUUUUGCAGAUAUUAUCUAGAAUAUCCACCCCUCCCUCAAUUUUUGAAUACAAAUACUCUUAAUAUGCACAAAUUAAUUUACUUUAAUGAUGUACAUUUUGAAUCUUUUUUUAUUGCAAUUUGUUUCAAUUGAUUGCCUAUCAUACCUUUUCUGUAAGACACACCUUUUUAGUAGUUUUUAUUGAUUUUUUAGAAUGAUAUGAACCAAUGAUUUUUUCUAUUUCCAUAGUUUUCACAAUUUAAACAGGUAUUACAGGUUAGAAUUAAAAAAAUUGCCUUAUUUACAUUUCAACAUAAUUUAUCAGAUAUUAAAAUCAUGCAUUUAUUCGCGACCUACAGUGUCUUACUUGCAACCAAAACAGGUUUUGCUCUUUUUCAUAAAAAAAAAAUGAAAUACCUAAAUGCAAUGUAAAUUGAAUAAAACUUGAGAGAAAAUACCCUUAUUUGAAUAACAAUACCAUGUUUCAAAAAUUAUACCUCUAGUUAGUAAUCCAUGGGGGAAAAAAAUUGGCAUAGGAUUUUACCUUUAUUAAUGAAAUAUAUAACUUCUUAUUGUUCAGAAUUAAUCUUAAUAGAAAUUAACAUUCAAAUUUGAUUGACAAAGCAAAAUGUAUUCAAAUGUGAUUGGAAUGUCCAUUUAUCAUAUUUAGGCUGUGUUUCCCACCCCCUUUUAAUCUGAUAUAAUUGCUUAUUGUAAAGAUUUAUAUGGGAAUACAUUAAGAUAUGUACAUGUAUCUGAUAUUUUGUUUUGGAAAGGGGGGGGGGGGGUAAGUCACAACAAGUUUGCUCCAUGACAAUUCACAACCAUGCAAUCAUUCCUCUGUGUUAGAAAUAUGUCGGUUGUAGAUUGUAUGAUUGAUAAUGCAUAUUCCACAAUGCU